rnacentral:rRNA from 1 species
UACGUAGGGUGCGAGCGUUAAUCGGAAUUACUGGGCGUAAAGCGUGCGCAGGCGGUUUUGUAAGCCAGAUGUGAAAUCCCCGGGCUUAACCUGGGAAUGGCAUUUGGGACUGCAAGGCUGGAGUGUGGCAGAGGAGACUGGAAUUCCUGGUGUAGCAGUGAAAUGCGUAGAUAUCAGGAGGAAUACCGAUGGCGAAGUCAGGUCUCUGGGCUGACACUGACGCUCAUGCACGAAAGCGUGGGGAGCAAACAGG